rnacentral:rRNA from 1 species
AUGAGCUCGCGGCCUAUCAGCUUGUUGGUGGGGUAACGGCCUACCAAGGCGACGACGGGUAGCCGGCCUGAGAGGGCGACCGGCCACACUGGGACUGAGACACGGCCCAGACUCCUACGGGAGGCAGCAGUGGGGAAUAUUGCGCAAUGGGCGAAAGCCUGACGCAGCGACGCCGCGUGGGGGAUGAAGGCCUUCGGGUUGUAAACCCCUUUCAGCAGGGACGAAGCGAAAGUGACGGUACCUGCAGAAGAAGCGCCGGCUAACUACGUGCCAGCAGCCGCGGUAACACGUAGGGCGCAAGCGUUGUCCGGAAUUAUUGGGCGUAAAGAGCUCGUAGGCGGUCUGUUGCGUCCGCUGUGAAAACUCGGGGCUUAACCCCGAGCCUGCAGUGGAUACGGGCAGACUAGAGGUAGGUAGGGGAGAAUGGAAUUCCCGGUGUAGCGGUGAAAUGCGCAGAUAUCGGGAGGAACACCGGUGGCGAAGGCGGUUCUCUGGGCCUUACCUGACGCUGAGGAGCGAAAGCGUGGGGAGCGAACAGGAUUAGAUACCCUGGUAGUCCACGCCGUAAACGUUGGGCGCUAGGUGUGGGAUCCUUCCACGGAUUCCGUGCCGCAGCUAACGCAUUAAGCGCCCCGCCUGGGGAGUACGGCCGCAAGGCUAAAACUCAAAGGAAUUGACGG